AGGGAUUGCCUUAGUAACGGCGAGUGAAGCGGCAAUAGCUCAAAUUUGAAAGCUGGCCCCUUCGGGGUCCGCGUUGUAAUUUGUAGAGGAUGAUUCGGCGAGGGCUCCCGUCUAAGUCCCUUGGAACAGGGCGUCAUAGAGGGUGAGAAUCCCGUAUGUGAUGGGCUGCCUUAGCCAUGUGAAUCUCCUUCGACGAGUCGAGUUGUUUGGGAAUGCAGCUCUAAAUGGGAGGUAAAUUUCUUCUAAAGCUAAAUACCGGCCAGAGACCGAUAGCGCACAAGUAGAGUGAUCGAAAGAUGAAAAGCACUUUGGAAAGAGAGUUAAAAAGUACGUGAAAUUGUUGAAAGGGAAGCGCUUGCAGCCAGACUUGUCCGCAGUUGCUCAGCCUGUCUCCUGACAGGCGUACUCUUCUGCGGCCAGGCCAGCAUCAGUUCGGGCGGUCGGAUAAAGACCUAGGGAAUGUAGCUCCUCUCGGGGAGUGUUAUAGCCCUGGGUGCAAUGCGGCCAGCCUGGACUGAGGAUCUCGCUUCGGCUAGGAUGCUGGCGUAAUGGCUGUAAGCGGCCCGUCUUGAAACACGGACCAAGGAGUCUAACAUCUAUGCGAGUGUUUGGGUGUCAAACCCAUGCGCGUAAUGAAAGUGAACGGAGGUGGGAACCCUCACGGGUGCACCAUCGACCGAUCCUGAUGUCUUCGGAUGGAUUUGAGUAAGAGCAUAGC
rnacentral:rRNA from 1 species